rnacentral:piRNA from 1 species
CAAUCCAGUAGGGAGCUGUGUGC